rnacentral:rRNA from 1 species
AACGCUGGCGGCGUGCCUAAUACCUGCAAGUCGAGCGAACAGAUGAGGAGCUUGCUCCUCUGACGUUAGAGGCGGACGGGUGAGUAACACGUGGAUAACCUACCUAUAAGACUGGGAUAACUUCGGGAAACCGGAGCUAAUACCGGAUAAUAUAUUGAACCGCAUGGUUCAAUAGUGAAAGACGGUUUUGCUGUACCUUAUAGAUGGAUCCGCGCCGCAUUAGCUAGUUGGUAAGGUAACGGCUUACCAAGGCGACGAUGCGUAGCCGACCUGAGAGGGUGAUCGGCCACACUGGAACUGAGACACGGUCCAGACUCCUACGGGAGGCAGCAGUAGGGAAUCUUCCGCAAUGGGCGAAAGCCUGACGGAGCAACGCCGCGUGAGUGAUGAAGGUCUUCGGAUCGUAAAACUCUGUUAUUAGGGAAGAACAAAUGUGUAAGUAACUAUGCACGUCUUGACGGUACCUAAUCAGAAAGCCACGGCUAACUACGUG